rnacentral:rRNA from 1 species
GACGAACGCUGGCGGCGUGCUUAACACAUGCAAGUCGAACGGAAAGGCCCUGCUUUGGUGGGGUGCUCGAGUGGCGAACGGGUGAGUAACACGUGAGUAACCUGCCCUUGACUUUGGGAUAACUUCAGGAAACUGGGGCUAAUACCGGAUAGGAGCUCCUGCUGCAUGGUGGGGGUUGGAAAGUUUCGGCGGUUGGGGAUGGACUCGCGGCUUAUCAGCUUGUGGGUGGGGUAGUGGCUGACCAAGGCUUUGACGGGUAGCCGGCCUGAGAGGGUGACCGGCCACAUUGGGACUGAGAUACGGCCCAGACUCCUACGGGAGGCAGCAGUGGGGAAUAUUGCACAAUGGGCGGAAGCCUGAUGCAGCAACGCCGCGUGCGGGAUGACGGCCUUCGGGUUGUAAACCGCUUUCGCCUGUGACGAAGCGUGAGUGACGGUAAUGGGUAAAGAAGCACCGGCUAACUACGUG